AUGGACUUAAGGCUCAUAUUUGUUUCGUUUGUUCUUAUUUUAAAAGGUGUCCAGUGUGAGAUGCAAUAUUUGGAGUCUGGGGGAGGCUUAGUGCAGCCUGGAAAGACCCUGAAAAUCUCCUGUGCAGCCUCUGGAUUCACCUUCAGUAGCUACUGGAUGAGCUGGAUCCGCCAGGAUCCAGGGAAGAAGCCGGAGUGGGUCGCAAACAUUAAUGAAGGUGGUGGUACCAGCAUCUAUACUGACGCUGUGAAGGGCAGGUUCACAACCUCCAGAGACAAUGUCAAGAACACUCUGUACCUAUAA